CCAGGCUCUGGCUCACUCCCUCUGCCGACAUCUGAGGAACCCCCCAAAGCCGGGUCUGCAACACCCCUCCUGAGUCCUCCCCAACUGCCCUGCCACAGCUUCUUGGUGGGACUCUAGGGGGCGAGGGGAUGCAACUGGACACCCAUUUCACAGAUGCCCCCCCCAGCCAACUGGUACAUCUAAUGCAGCACAAAGCUCAGACCGCCAAGACGGGGAACGGGGACCCCAGCUCUGCCACCUCCCCUCC
rnacentral:lncRNA from 1 species